CCCGCCUUAACUCAGCCUGGUAGAGUGCGCGGCUGUAGACCGCGAUGUCCCCGGUUCGAAUCUGGGAGGCGGGACCA
rnacentral:tRNA from 1 species